rnacentral:ncRNA from 1 species
CAUAGGUUUGGUCCCAGCCUUUCUAUUGGUUUUUAGCAAAACUACACAUGCAAGUAUCCGCACUCCAGUGAGAAUGCCCCCUAAAUCAUUAUCAUGAUAAAAAGGAGCAGGCAUCAAGCACACCACCAGGUAGCUCAUAACGCCUUGCUCAACCACACCCCCACGGGAAACAGCAGUGAUAGAAAUUAAGCAAUGAACGAAAGUUUGACUAAGUUAUGCUAACAAGGGUUGGUAAAUUUCGUGCCAGCCACCGCGGUCAUACGAUUAACCCUAAUCAAUAGACCUACGGCGUAAAACGUGUUUAAGAUUUUUUCCCUCCAUUCUAAAGCUAAACUUUAGCCAUGCUGUAAAAAGCCCCAGCUACUGUAAGCCCUACCACGAAAGCAGCUUUAAACUAUCUGAAUACACGACAGCUAAGGCCCAAACUGGGAUUAGAUACCCCACUAUGCUUAGCCCUAAACCUAAAGAAUCUAUUAAACAAGAUUCUUCGCCAGAGAACUACUAGCCAAAGCCUAAAACUCAAGGGACUUGGCGGUGCUUUAUAUCCUUCUAGAGGAGCCUGUUCUAUAAUCGAUAAACCCCGAUAAACCUCACCAACCCUUGCCAACUCAGCCUAUAUACCGCCAUCUUCAGCAAACCCUGAAAAGGACCCACAGUAAGCUCAAUAAUAGUACAUAAAGACGUUAGGUCAAGGUGUAGCCUAUGGGUUGGAAAGAAAUGGGCUACAUUUCCUAAUAUUAGGGCACCACUAACUCAUACGAAAACUCUUCUGAAACCAAGAGUUAAAGGUGGAUUUAGCAGUAAACUAAGAAUAGAGUGCUUAGUUGAAUAAGGCCAUGAAGCACGCACACACCGCCCGUCACCCUCCUCAAAUACAAGUAACAAUCACUAACCCUAUAAUCACCUGUUAUAGCUACUAGAGGAGAUAAGUCGUAACAAGGUAAGCGUACUGGAAAGUGCGCUUGGAUAACC